rnacentral:lncRNA from 1 species
UGAAUCAGUCCUCGCGGGGUGCAAGCCUGUGGCCCCAGUGGCCGAUGUGACACCAAACGCACCAGGCUGGCGUUGGCAGUGGCCUGGAGAGAUACUGUCUGUUUUGACACAAAGUGACAAGGGAAGAGAAACGGGGCGCCGGUCCUGAAUGACAGCAGCCCUCUCACCUCCAGGAAGUAACCUUCGAAGGGGACGAGCCGGGGAAGCCGAAACGCAGAGGUCCGAGACGUGUGUGUGCGUGCGUGUGCGCUCAGUGAGCGAGGGGUCGGGUUCGGCUCGGACCCCGAGGCCGCAGAGGCGGAUGCACUCAGGCCUACCGCCAGGGGGCGACAACUGCGACGCGGCCGCAGGCCCAGGGACUCAGCAACCGGAGGCGGCGGCCACUCUGCGCGCCGCUACUCUCACCUCCAGCUCUGCUUUGUGUGAAUCCUGCUUGCUGUACUUCCAGAGAAACUCCAAUGGAAUUGCUUCAUACAUGUAAAAAGAGAUAUUUACCUUUCUUCUGAAAUAUACCCUCUUCCAUGUCCAUUCAGAAUAUCUACUGCCCUAUCAGUGUACCGGUAUAUAAUUCCUGGACUGCAUUUCGUGUGUGUGUGUGUGUGUUGUUGUUGUUGUUGUUGUUGUUGUUAUUGUUGUUGUUGCUACUCUCAGCAUUUCAAGUUCCUUUGGAGAUGGCUUUCUUCCAGGGCAAUCCCUGGACUUCCAGGACAGAACAUCAAGGCAGGAAUGAUGGCAGCAGCACAUCUGGAGCAGCUGUUGGAAAACUGAAAAACUAAGAUCAAAGUUUUAAAAUGUUGCUCCAUGCACAUGGUCAUCAAUAACUAAAAGCAUUAGUAAUGACAAACUAGCCCUCUGUUUAUGAUGCCAUGUAUAAUGCACCAUGCUUCUUAAUUUUCCCCUUUCCUUUUACUAUGUGUUUUAUGAGUCAGUUAUUGAACUUUGAAGGUUGUUGUAAAGGGCUGAUAAUAAAAAUUGAUUGCAAAAUGCUCUGAGAGCCUUUCGUGAUAACACUCUGGAGAGCAAAAUAGUUAUUUACCCCACAGUCUUGCAUAAUGUUUCCUAGCAGAUAACAUAUUCCAGAAAGAGUACAUGUCAUCUAUAGUCAAUUAUUGAAUUUUUAAAAAGUGUACUUCAAGAACAUUGUCCUUUACUUCAGUCUAAUAAUUUCUUUAAGGCAUUGUUACAAUGGAGGCUAUCAAGAACAAUGCGACUAUGGGCAAUCGUUAUAAUUAACCCGAGUCACUUAAAAUUUCCAAAUAAUUACUGAUACACAGUAAGAAAUUGAAUUACUAAUUUAAAACAGACCAAAAUAUAUCUUAAAAC